rnacentral:rRNA from 1 species
UACGAAGGGGGCUAGCGUUGCUCGGAAUCACUGGGCGUAAAGGGUGCGUAGGCGGGUCUUUUAAGUCAAGGGUGAAAUCCUGGAGCUCAACUCCAGAACUGCCUUUGAUACUGAGGAUCUUGAGUUCGGGAGAGGUGAGUGGAACUGCGAGUGUAGAGGUGAAAUUCGUAGAUAUUCGCAAGAACACCAGUGGCGAAGGCGGCAUCCUGGACCGACAUUGACGCUGAGGCGCGAAAGCCAGGGGAGCAAAGCGGG